AGCUUUGCAUAGUGGCAGUAUCAUAGCCAAUGAGGUUUGUCCGAGGUGUGAUUAUUGCUAACAGAAUCGUAAUUUGCAAAGUUCUAAUUCAAAAAGUUGUAAUUUGCAUUUUUCUGUGAUUUAGAGCAUUCUUUCAUAUGA